GCCAGACUCCUACGGGAGGCAGCAGUGGGGGAUAUUGCACAAUGGGGGGAACCCUGAUGCAGCGACGCCGCGUGGGUGAAGGAGUAUUUCGGUAUGUAAAGCCCUAUCGGCAGGGAAGAAGCAAGACGGUACCUGACUAAGAAGCCCCGGCUAACUACGUGCCAGCAGCCGCGGUAAUACGUAAGGGGCGAGCGUUAUCCGGAUUCACUGGGUGUAAGGGGAGCGUAGACGGCCAUGCAAGCCAGGGGUGAAAGCCCGGGGCCCAACCCCGGGACUGCCCUUGGAACUGUGCGGCUAGAGUGCGGGAGGGGCAGGCGGAAUUCCUGGUGUAGCGGUGAAAUGCGUAGAUAUCAGGAGGAACACCGGCGGCGAAGGCGGCCUGCUGGACCGCGACUGACGUUGAGGCUCGAAAGCGUGGGGAGCGAACAGGAUUAGAUACCCCUGUAGC
rnacentral:rRNA from 1 species